GAACUGAAGAGUUUGAUCCUGGCUCAGAUUGAACGCUGGCGGCAUGCCUUACACAUGCAAGUCGAACGGCAGCACGGGGGCAACCCUGGUGGCGAGUGGCGAACGGGUGAGUAAUACAUCGGAACGUGUCCUGUAGUGGGGGAUAGCCCGGCGAAAGCCGGAUUAAUACCGCAUACGCUCUACGGAGGAA
rnacentral:rRNA from 1 species